rnacentral:lncRNA from 1 species
UGUGGAGUGCUUUGGUCUGCAGACACUGCAGGCUGCCAAGUCAUCGUGAGGAAUUUCAGUCUCCUGUUUGCUGAGCUGUGUUGGGAUUGUGGCUUAUUUGCAGAAGUUCUUUGUUUAAGUCAUCCUUGAUCAAGAUGUUUGUUCUGGGAUGGCGACAUUGCUUUUAUGGUUGCUCCCUGCCUGAAGUUUGUUCCCCUGAUAGUGAUCGGAAUGUGCUAUAGUCGUGAUCUUGUAACUUCUUGUUUCUGUCGAGUUAAUAUAGUUAGCAGGAUAUAUAAAGGAAGGUUUUUUGUAAAAGCUUUAGACCUUCUCCCAAGAUAAUAAAGAAGCUUCAGAAGGAUCCUGAGUGUUGCGUGCUUUCUUGCUGGCAAGCGGCUCGCGACAACUGGUGCCGAAACCCGGGACGCUGGGAAUAAUCUCAAGACAACAGAUCCAGGCAUCGGAGAAGGUCCCUGUGCUGAACAGGAGGAUUCAGAACUGAGGCGACCUGCAUAAGGAAGGAACGUUCAGAUCCCGUCUGGGUCCCAAGUCGGCUGACACGUCGCUGUCCUCUCAUUGACAAGGUUUCCCAGCCAGAAGCAUGAAGUUCUACUUAUGGAUGUAUUAUCAGCUCUUUCUUCUGAUCACUCCGGCGAAUUCUUGGACUCCAGCAGCAACAGCUCCAUCUAUUGCAGCAGGCUUUUUUGGCCGCUGAUUUGGGCAUCUCCCCUCAUUUCUGGCUCGCUCAAAUGGAAUAGUAGUCAAAGACGGGUAAGAUCUGGGAUCAUCAAUGAUCAACCUAAGACAGAGGUUGUAUCUCUUAAAUCUGAGUACAAUUCUCGAUGACGGGUAAGACAUUGUUUGAGUCCUGGACAACCUAAGACAGGCAUAUUCCUGAGCCAUUGUUUUAUAUAAAAGAAGGGUGAGAUGUGGAGUGCUUUGGUCUGCAGACACUGCAGGCUGCCAAGUCAUCGUGAGGAAUUUCAGUCUCCUGUUUGCUGAGCUGUGUUGGGAUUGUGGCUUAUUUGCAGAAGUUCUUUGUUUAAGUCAUCCUUGAUCAAGAUGUUUGUUCUGGGAUGGCGACAUUGCUUUUAUGGUUGCUCCCUGCCUGAAGUUUGUUCCCCUGAUAGUGAUCGGAAUGUGCUAUAGUCGUGAUCUUGUAACUUCUUGUUUCUGUCGAGUUAAUAUAGUUAGCAGGAUAUAUAAAGGAAGGUUUUUUGUAAAAGCUUUAGACCUUCUCCCAAGAUAAUAAAGAAGCUUCAGAAGGAUCCUGAGUGUUGCGUGCUUUCUUGCUGGCGAGCGGCUCGCG